GAUGAACGCUGGCGGCGUGCCUAAUACAUGCAAGUCGAGCGAACAGACGAGGAGCUUGCUCCUCUGACGUUAGCGGCGGACGGGUGAGUAACACGUGGAUAACCUACCUAUAAGACUGGGAUAACUUCGGGAAACCGGAGCUAAUACCGGAUAAUAUAUUGAACCGCAUGGUUCAAUAGUGAAAGACGGUUUUGCUGUCACUUAUAGAUGGAUCCGCGCCGCAUUAGCUAGUUGGUAAGGUAACGGCUUACCAAGGCAACGAUGCGUAGCCGACCUGAGAGGGUGAUCGGCCACACUGGAACUGAGACACGGUCCAGACUCCUACGGGAGGCAGCAGUAGGGAGUCUUCCGCAAUGGGCGAAAGCCUGACGGAGCAACGCCGCGUGAGCGAUGAAGGUCUUCGGAUCGUAAAACUCUGUUAUUAGGGAAGAACAAAUGUGUAAGUAACUAUGCACGUCUUGACGGUACCUAAUCAGAAAGCCACGGCUAACUACGUG
rnacentral:rRNA from 1 species